rnacentral:lncRNA from 1 species
GCUGGUAGCAUAGGAAUAACUUUCUGAACCAAUCGAUAUAACCAUCUAGCAAUGGUGACCCGACGUCCGGAUAGGUCGAAUGAAGAUGAAGCAACAUUUAAGAAUCUACUGGCGUAUGGUUACUGUAUAAUUCAUCUCUUUGACUCUAAUGCUCAAGGAUGACCUAGAAUUUAACUGUCAAUCCUAGAUAAGUCAUCCA